rnacentral:rRNA from 1 species
UACGUAGGGGGCAAGCGUUGUCCGGAAUCAUUGGGCGUAAAGAGCGUGUAGGCGGCCCGAUAAGUCCGCCGUGAAAGCCCAGGGCUCAACCCUGGGAUGCCGGUGGAUACUGUCGGGCUAGAGUUCGGAAGAGGCAAGUGGAAUUCCUGGUGUAGCGGUGAAAUGCGCAGAUAUCAGGAGGAACACCGGUGGCGAAGGCGGGUCUCUGGGCCGAUACUGACGCUGAGGAGCGAAAGCGUGGGUAGCAAACAGG